GAUGAAGAACGCAGCGAAAUGCGAUAAGUAAUGUGAAUUGCAGAAUUCAGUGAAUCAUCGAAUCUUUGAACGCACAUCGCGCCCGCCAGUAUUCUGGCGGGCAUGCCUGUUCGAGCGUCAUUUCAACCAUCAAGCCCCCGGCUUGUGUUGGGGACCUGCGGCUGCCGCAGGCCCUGAAAACCAGUGGCGGGCUCGCUAGUCACUCCGAGCGUAGUAAUACAUCUCGCUCAGGGCGUGCUGCGGGUUCCGGCCGUUAAAAAGCCUUAUUUACCCAAGGUUGACCUCGGAUCAGGUAGGAAGACCCGCUGAACUUAAGCAUAUCAAUAAGCGGAGGA
rnacentral:misc_RNA from 1 species